AUGAAUAAGAUUGAAAAGAUGAUGAAGAUAUCAGCUUUGCUCAUUGUUUUCUCAUGCCUCUUGCUGAUAGCAUUCACAGUUCUUUCUGCUAAUGCAGAAAACUCAAAUGCUCGUACCCCAAUAAUCCCAACUUCGAAGAACCUGGUUUAUUAUCCUCAAGGUUGUCGCUGCUGCACGUUCAUAUUUAAGCCAAUGAUUCGGUGUGGCAUAGUAUGUUGUGAAGAAGGCUGUUGUGGUUGA